UCCAGCACUCUCUUCACUCCGACGAAUCUUCGAUCAAUCUCGUUACACUUCAGCUUAGUACUUGUAGAUAAGGAGGAAGUUGAUUUUAUCACUGAUUGACAAAAAGGCUUAGAUAGUUUGUAACUUGAAAGAUGGAUGAAGGAGAUGGCCAAGGAAUUGGUGUUGGAACUACCAAAAGAGAAUCAUUAGUUUCGCCCCAAUACCAAAUCACAAAGGACUAACCAUUGGCAAGAAGGUUGAGGAGGUUUUGAAAGAGUGGGGUAUAAGAAAUGUGUCCACGAUCACCGUGGACAACGCUUCCUCUAAUGAUGUGGCUGUUAGUUAUUUGAAAAAAAGACUUAAGAUCAAGAAUGGGUUGUUGGGUGAAGGGGAUCACUUCCAUAUGAGGUGUGUUGCCCAUAUAUUGAACUUAGUAGUCAUGGACGGGUUGAAAGAUCAAGAUUUGUCUAUUUCUAGCAUCCGCAAUGCGGUUAGGUUUGUGAGGUCUUCACCUCAAAGAGCUUUGAAAUUUAAAGAAUGCAUUGAUAUGUCAAGGAUAACAUGUAAAAAACAUGUUUGUCUUGACGUUUCCACUAGGUGGAAUUCACUUUUCAUGAUGUUGGAUACCGCUGAAAAAUUUCAACCCGCUUUUGAGAAGUUAGUGCAUGAAGAUUCUGGCUAUGUUGAGUGGUUUAAAGAGGCUGGCCUUCCUACUCCUAAUGAUUGGGAAAAGGCUAGAGCCUUUGUUAGCUUUUUAAAGAUUUUCUAUGAUGCU